GCAGCCUAUUUCUCUCUCUAUCUUCCUCGGUUCUCUCACUGGUAUCUUCAUCAUAUCUCUUCCAAAUCUUUUCAUUUGUAUACCUAACCUUCAAUCUUCAGGCAUUCAUCAUCAAUAUCUUCUAUAAUCAACCGAUUCACACAUUGAAGGAUCACCAUUACAACCGCGAGGAUGUCUUUUUACAAGUCUAUGUCCGCACUAACUAAAGAAUUCUUGGUACUCUUAUGUUCUUUAUCAAUGUUUUCAUUGCUGUUCAUUUAUUUUUGGAAUAUUUUAAUUCUUUUAUUUACCAGUGAUUAUGUUUAUGUUUACUUUAAAGGUUAUACCUGUUCAGUUUUCUAAGAUAUGGUUAUCUUCUGCGGGUAGUGAUAAUAUUGUGCUCAUAAAGUGCAUAAAUGAAAAGGUUUGGAACGUAAACUUUUCCAAGAACAAUGGUACAUUUGCUUUUACGGAAUGAUGGUCAAAGGUUGUGGCUGACCUUUCUUUAUAUGAUGGAUGUAUACUUGUGUUCAGGAAAAUUAAUCCCUAUAAUUAUUUACCCACACCUUUUUUCAAGGAAAUACCUUAUCCACGUUGGGAUCCAAACAUCAGUUUGUUUACCUCCAUCUCCUCUUUGCCGAAUAGAAAAUACGUAGAGGCUUUCUGCCAUGUUUUCAAUGAUCAAACUGUUAAUACAUUGCUUCUACCGACUUAUUUUGUUAAAAACACUAUUGGUCUCGGUAAACUUAGAAGAUCAAUGAAGGUUCAUCUGAAUUCCUGGGACUCUUUAGAUGUAUCUGUUGUGAAGGAUCCUGAUAGCAAAUGUUAUUUUUUAUGGAUGGAUGGAACAACAUUGUACAACAUAUAGGUGUUCGUAUUGAAUGUGUUGUUGUUUUACGCUACCAGAUUGAUUACAACUUUCAGUUGACAUUAUUUGAUGUGAAUGGAUCUGAGGUCAUUAUACCUAGAAUUGGUUUACCGGUCAAUUCUGAUUCUGAUUUGAGAAAUGCAACUCCCUUGGUAAACAUUGUUGAUGAUGUUGAAGACGAUGUUGAUAUUAAUUCUGAUCUUGAUUCGGAGGUAGCUGCUUUAUUUGAACCUUCUAAUUCUGAUGAGUCCGUUGUUGGAAGUUCUGACAGUGAUAUGUCUAUUGACGAUGAUUUUGAUGAGGACGACAUUGAAGAUUCGAGUGGUGCUUCUGAUGAUGAUACAAAAGAAAUAAAUUUGCAAGUUUAUCUAAUUUAUUUUUGGUGUCGAUUGGAUAUUGAUUUUCAAAAUAACGACUUUUUUGACUUUUUGGUAUUUAAUUACUUUUAAAUACUUUCCUUUUUUUCUCUGAAAGGAAUUUAU